CACCAUUCUGGUCUCCUCGACAACCCCUUCAGUUCAGGCAGCUUCUCUCUGUCCUAGCUCAGAGGCCAGGGAAAGGGCGAGAGGUCCCCAGAGAGGGGCACUGAGGACCUAUGGCUAUGAACUUUCAGGAAAAUGUGACUCUGGCCAUUGCUGUCUUCACCAUCCUCGCCUCCAUCUACUUCUUCAACAAGGCUCAGCAGUGACAGACGUCAGCUGACCUGUGCAGGGCCGGCCACCGCCCACCAGCACCAUGACAGCAGCCCCUGAGACCAAAUAAACGGAGCAGCAGCA